GACGAACGCUGGCGGCGUGCCUAAUACAUGCAAGUAGAACGCUGAAGAGAGGAGCUUGCUCUUCUUGGACGAGUUGCGAACGGGUGAGUAACGCGUAGGUAACCUGCCUUGUAGCGGGGGAUAACUAUUGGAAACGAUAGCUAAUACCGCAUAACAAUAGGUGACACAUGUCAUUUAUUUGAAAGGGGCAAUUGCUCCACUACAAGAUGGACCUGCGUUGUAUUAGCUAGUAGGUGAGGUAACGGCUCACCUAGGCGACGAUACAUAGCCGACCUGAGAGGGUGAUCGGCCACACUGGGACUGAGACACGGCCCAGACUCCUACGGGAGGCAGCAGUAGGGAAUCUUCGGCAAUGGGGGCAACCCUGACCGAGCAACGCCGCGUGAGUGAAGAAGGUUUUCGGAUCGUAAAGCUCUGUUGUAAGUCAAGAACGAGUGUGAGAGUGGAAAGUUCACACUGUGACGGUAGCUUACCAGAAAGGGACGGCUAACUACGUGCCAGCAGCCGCGGUAAUACGUAGGUCCCGAGCGUUGUCCGGAUUUAUUGGGCGUAAAGCGAGCGCAGGCGGUUUGAUAAGUCUGAAGUUAAAGGCUGUGGCUCAACCAUAGUCCGCUUUGGAAACUGUCAAACUUGAGUGCAGAAGGGGAGAGUGGAAUUCCAUGUGUAGCGGUGAAAUGCGUAGAUAUAUGGAGGAACACCGGUGGCGAAAGCGGCUCUCUGGUCUGUAACUGACGCUGAGGCUCGAAAGCGUGGGGAGCGAACAGG
rnacentral:rRNA from 1 species